rnacentral:rRNA from 1 species
CCCUACUGCUAUCGGGGUGGGACUAAGACAUGCUAGUCGAGCGCCUUGAGCUAUGGCGAGGCGCGGCGUACAGCUCAGUAACACGUGGCUAACCUACCCUUAGGACGGAGACAACCCCGGGAAACUGGGGCUAAUAUCUGAUAGGUGAGGAGGCCUGGAAUGGUUCUUCGCUGAAAAGGCGUUGAAACCAUGCUUUUCAGCGUCGCCUAAGGAUGGGGCCGCGUCCGAUCAGGUUGUUGGUGGGGUAACGGCUCACCAAGCCUAUAACCGGUACGGGCCGUGAGAGCGGGAGCCCGGAGAUGGGCACUGAGACAAGGGCCCAGGCCCUACGGGGCGCAGCAGUCGCGAAAACUCCGCAAUGCGCGAAAGCGUGACGGGGCUACCCCGAGUGCCGUCCGCUGAGGAUGGCUUUUCCCCGGUGUAAUGAGCCGGGGGAAUAAGGAGAGGGCAAGUCUGGUGUCAGCCGCCGCGGUAAUACCAGCUCUCCGAGUGGUAGGGACGAUUAUUGGGCUUAAAGCGUCCGUAGCCGGCUUAGCAAGUCUUCUGUUAAAUUCAGCGACCUAAUCGUUGAGCCGCGGGAGAUACUACUAGGCUAGGAGGCGGGAGAGGCCGACGGUAUUCUCGGGGUAGGGGUGAAAUCCUAUAAUCCCGGGAGGACCACCAGUGGCGAAGGCUGUCGGCUAGAACGCGCUCGACGGUGAGGGACGAAAGCUGGGGGGGCGAACCGGAUUAGAUACCCGGGUAGUCCCAGCUGUAAACGAUGCGGGCUAGGUGUUGGGGUGGCUACGAGCCACUUCAGUGCCGCAGGGAAGCCAUUAAGCCCGCCGCCUGGGGAGUACGGCCGCAAGGCUGAAACUUAAAGGAAUUGGCGGGGGGGCACCACAAGGCGUGAAGCUUGCGGUUC